UACGUAGGGUGCAAGCGUUGUCCGGAAUUAUUGGGCGUAAAGCGCUCGCAGGUGGUUCGUCGCGUCGUGCGUGAAAGACCCCGGCUCAACUGGGGAGGGUCGUGCGAUACGGGCGGACUGGAGGCCAGUAGGGGGAUGCGGAAUUCCGGGUGUAGUGGUGGAAUGCGUAGAGAUCCGGAGGAACACCAGCGGCGAAGGCGGCAUCCUGGACUGGUCCUGACACUCAGGAGCGAAAGCGUGGGGAGCGAUCCGG
rnacentral:rRNA from 1 species